AUACUUACCUGGGAGGGAGAUGCGGUGAUCAUGAAGGCCGUAUGUCCGUCUGAUACCUGCGACCUAGCACAUCGUCCGGGUGGAGGCGGUGGCCCCCAAAAGGGGGUACACACUCCAUUAUUUUUGAGAGCUGGGGACCCUGUACGCAGGCCCCUGA
rnacentral:snRNA from 1 species